rnacentral:rRNA from 1 species
AUACGUAGGGUGCAAGCGUUAAUCGGAAUUACUGGGCGUAAAGCGUGCGCAGGUGGUUUUGUAAGUCAGAUGUGAAAUCCCCGGGCUUAACCUGGGAACUGCGUUUGAAACUGCAAGGCUAGAGUGUGGCAGAGGGGGGUGGAAUUCCGCGUGUAGCAGUGAAAUGCGUAGAGAUGUGGAGGAACACCGAUGGCGAAGGCAGCCCCCUGGGUCAGCACUGACGCUCAGGCACGAAAGCAUGGGGAGCAAACAGGAUUAGAAACCCCAGUAGUCC